UUUAUUACCUUGGACCAGGAAUCUGAACAUGAAAAUAUGGUAGACUAUCAUAUUCUGCAGUAUCUUUCAUAGUUAAUCUUUUUGUAUCAAUAGCCCCUUAUAAAAUGGAGAAACUGUGGAUAUUUGAGUCAUCAGCUAUUAAACUGUACGUUGUCAAUACUCACAUUCCUUACACAGCAAGAUAGGCUUAUCAGUUCUGCAAUAAAUUGGGUAUUUCCUUGCUUUUUCUGAUGACGGAAAAAGGUAAAGCAGACAAAGAAGGUUUUUUUGCUUUAAAAGGAUAAGAAAUAGCCACUCUUUCUGAGCAACUUGUUCAGAUAAGAGACGACUUCUAUUUCAGGCAAAUUCCUGGAGUAGGGAUUUGGGGGUGGUGGUAUCCAUCAAAUAUCGGAUUAUGGGGUGGAAGCCAGGGCAGGACAAGGCCUUGCCUAAUGCAGCAAUAGAGCACACAGGUUUCAGCAACAUGCAUGAAAGGAAUAAAAACAUGCAGCGGGAAUAAGUAGACUAAUGUCUAGGCAACUAAGGAAACUGUCAGUACUAAUAACUGCCCAUGCUACCGGGCUGUGAUGAAGCCGAGGACGGAAGGGGCAAGGUGGCUUUAGCACCCUCUGACCUUGAGCCUGUCACUGCAGGUCAAGGUCUCUGGGUGAGGUGCAUUCCUGUGGCCUGUGCUGGAACUUAAUCGACCAUUUCAGCCCCUGGUACCGAGGUUCCCUGGCACCAAGAUGCUUGUGCCAAGGAUCGCUUUAGAAAUGCCGGUAGAUGGGAGAUUAGAAAGGGCAGCACAUUUCCGGCUGCUGGCGCUGCGCUCUUUUCUGAACCUUGGUUUAUUAGCAAGCAGCGUUCACAGCCACAUGACAGCCCCACAGCACUUCCUACGCAGAGCCACCGCAGCAGGGUGGACCCCGUUCGCAUCGUAGUCUCACGCCAUUACCCCUGUGCCAAUGAAUUUAGGGCAAACAGAAGCUAACGCUGACGAUGCUGUGCAGUCACGGGACUUCGUGGCCGAGGAAGUCCUGGGUGCAAGUGCCACGGUUGGAUUCCUUUCAACGGACAGGUUAUGUGUUGCAAGCAGUCCUGGGCACAACAGUGAUUCCGUUAUGUGCGCCUGGUGAAAUGGACAACUGCACAACAGCACUAAUUCAGACAGAGAACAGUCCACGUGUGGCUCAAGUUGGGAUAACAAGAUGCAAGCCUGAAAUGAAAGACUACUGCUUCCACGGACAGUGUGUGUACAUAGUGGACUUGGAUGAGCACUAUUGCAGGUGCGAUGUAGGCUUCUCUGGCGUCCGAUGUGUGCAUUCAGAACUUGUCAGACAGCCCCUCAGUAAGGAGUAUGUGGCACUGACAGUAAUCCUAAUUCUGCUUUUCCUCACCGCCCUCUCUAUUGCAAGCUACUACAUCUGCAAAAGACUCGGUGAAACGUCAUCUCAGAACAGAAGAUGGCCUAGUUUGUUAGGGUGUUCAGCCCUAUUUCAGGGACGGACCCAGCAGGAUUUCUCAAAGACAAACCCAGUACCAGCAGCAAGACUUUAAUGCAGAUGUGAAGUCUUCAGUGAAGAGUUGAGAAAUGAGACUGCAUGCAAGUCAUCUCAGAGCCCAGAAAUGAAUGCAGAGAGAGCCUAGCUGCUAGAGUUAAAACAAACACAAGGAGGUACCGAAACAAGAAGAGACAGAUGAACACCAGUGAAUACAAGGAAGUUGGUACCCUGUAGGAGAAUCCGUGGCUUCAUACAGUGUUCUGUUCAUCUGGACAGACUCAGUGGCUUCCCAUCUAUUUAAAUGUUAUUUUUAUUAAAAAUAUUUACAAUAUUUAUGUUCUCUUAAAAAUUUCAAUUGUUUGGUGAUCCAAUCAGUAUAGGUCAAGCAUUUUAUUUUCAGUGUUUUAUUUUUUUAUUUAAUAGUAUUUCUCAAUGAGAAUCCUACAUAAGUGGCUCUGUGGGAUAGAGAUAUAUUUUUGUAACAGUUAAUCUUCUUGCCAGUACUACCUGGCUCAAACUCUGAAGAGUAAUUUUAUAUUUAUUCUUGUGAAUAUUCUGAAAACAAUUUUACUCCUCGAAAUAAAAGUUCUAGACCAA